CGUGUGAUGAGACUUGUCCUAAGCUUGGUAAACAAAGACAACAGGGAAGGAUUCCUUACUACACUAUCUUCAGUCCAGGAGGCCACAAUGAUGUCAGUUUGCUUUAACAUUCUCUCUUUUCACUUUGUAGGCCCUGAUUCCAAAGAAUAGAGAAGCAGAUGCCUGACUUUUAGCCCCUUCCAUCACCAGUUGACAGUUGUCCCAGCUCACACAUCCUUCAAAUUCAUCCCAUCAGCUGUCCAUCUGCCUCAAGGUUACAAACAGUUACAACUCACAAACAGA